rnacentral:SRP_RNA from 1 species
UCUGGGUGCCGCGUGGCGCUAUCUCAUGAACCUCCCCAGGGCAGGAAUGCAGCAAGGAUAAGUGGGCUCUAGCGGGUGCGCGGUCACCCUUUUUU